ACCCAGAGGGGAACCAAGUUAUGUUAUACCAUUUACAAAAUACCAAGGAGUCCACAGCUACCUAACACAUUUACUACAGCACAGGAACCAAUGAAGGAUGGAAAAUGCAAAUGGAAGAUAUAACCAGUGAAAUGGCCAAGAGAAAA